AGAGAGGGACCAUCUCUAGGGUCUUCUCAAAUUUCAGGCAACAAAUCCUUGCUUUUCAACAAGUACUUUCAUAUAUUUGGGUCACAGAGAUUCUGAUUGAGUUCUAUCAACUUAUCUCUCCUAUAUCUGAGAGUUACCAAAAGUCAGAGAAAUUCCCUGCGACAUUAUCAGGAAGGACAGCGACUGAUUGGUCCUAAAAACAUCAUUAUUUUUAUUAUUAUCAUCAUCAGCAUUUCUUCUCCCCAGGCUUAGAGAAUUAAUUAGCAGGGUUGCCUUUAGGUGGUGGCCAGCCUAAGAGUAAGAAAUAUUAGUAAUGUUCCUGGCUUCUAUUUAACUCCCUCAGUAGCCUGAAGUGUUGCCAGAAGUUUCACCACUUAUCACUCUUCCUGUAGGCUAGGAAAACACAAAUAAUCUGAAAGAAGUUAACAUUGCGUCAAUGCUAGCAACUUAGGGUAAAUGAUUUUAUGAAAUCCUUCAUACUAGCUGGGAACAGUUCUACACGCAAGUCAUUGUUUUGAUUGGUAAGAGGUGUGGUGGGAACACCAUACUGAGAGUCAGGAGGUGCCUGUCUUAGACCAGCAUCUUGUGGAACUGGAGCCUUACCCCAAGUGAGCCCUUUAUUGUAAGGGCCGGAGACAAAGUGAAGGACCCUGUAAGAUCUUAGAAAUAAGGCCACAGAAUUUCUCUCUAAAUGUCUAAUAUUAGAUCAGUCCAUAAUGGAUCAAAGUAGAAAUGUAUACCUGAAAGAAACAACAAGGGUGUUGGGCCUAUUGCACUCAUAACCAGUGGUGUGCUGGUAAAUGUUGAACCACCAGCUUUCUGUGUUUGCGGGGAGAGCACCCUGAUUUGUAAUGUUUGCCAGUUUCUGUAGUGUCAAUAUUUCCAUCAUGGCUGAUGUCAAGCUGCCAAUGUGACAUCACUGAAAGCAGCAUUGGGAAGGUAGGUACACAGCCUGUGCUCCUGAGCUGAUGCAAGUCACUGGGAAUGUCAUCAUUGGUACCACCCAUACCACUACUUCAUCAUCCAAUUGAGUGCAUAAGAUACACAGAAGGAAUAUUUCCAACAGAAAAGGAGUUGAACAGCUAUAGUAUGGCAGAGGAAGGAAAAUCACUGAGACUGCCCUUUUGAGUACUAUCCAGGAGAGAGGAAGGCUUGACAAUCUGAACUUUACAUAUUUUGAAAUCCAAAGGCUACCUCCCCAACCCUGUAAAAUAAAUUUAUAAGGUUAUUUUAGCUCAGUGCCAUUAAACAAUAACUUAUCUAAUGCCUCAUUUUCCAUCCUGUUCCAGUCAAACAAGCUUCUGCUCAUGGCCUGGCUUGCUUGCUUGCUUUCUUGUUUAUUAUUACACUUUAAGUUCUAGGGUACAUGUGCACAACAUGCAGGUUUGAUACAUAGGUAUACAUGUGUCAUGUUGGUUUGCUUCACCCAUCAACUCGUCAUUUACUUUAGGUAUUUCUCCCAAUGCUAUCCCUCCCCCAGCCCCCCACUCCCCCAACAGGCCCCAGGGUGUGAUGUUCCCUGCCGUAUAUCCAAGUGUUCUCAUUGUUCAAUUCCCACCUAUGAGUGAGAACAUGUGGUGUUUGGUUUUUUGUCCUUGUGAUAGUUUGCUGAGAAUGAUGGUUUCCAGCUUCAUCCAUGUCCCUGCAAAGGACAUGAACUCAUCCUUUUUUAUGACUGCAUAGUAUUCCGUGGUGUAUAUGUGCCACAUUUUCUUAAUCCAGCCUGUCAUCGAUGGACAUUUGGGUUGGUUCCAAGUCUUUGCUGUUGUGACUAGCACUCCUGACCUGGCUUUCUAUGUUAGUUUGCCUCUAUGGACCAAGUACACUGAACAUACGGAUUUCAAACUCUCUUGACAAUGCUAUGCUAAAGCAACUUGAACAAGUGGUUUUUGAUUAUGUUUUGGCUUCCUGUGUAGCUUAAGAACAUAAUGUACAUAAGAUGAUAAUGGGAGUGCUGCAGUCUAUAUAUCAGCUCUAUUUUUAAUAUAAAUUAAUAAAAUGCCAUUGUAGUGUUGUCCUU
ensembl:lncRNA